ACAUCCAUAUCAACGCAAAAGCAUCGGUUCUCCUACGAUCACCGACGUUAUGCCACAUCGGGCCUGUUUAGUACGUAAAUGGGUGACCACUUAGAAAUACCAGGUGAUGUAAG